AUCAGAAAUACAAGAGGCAGAGGAAGCAAGGUUGAAGAGGAUUAGGGAAUGCAAAUUAAAAUACACCAAAUAAAGCUUGAACUUAGACACACUUAUUGGUAAUAGGAUUGACUGAAUGGAUUAAUUUAAUUUCUAA